CUCUCUCUCUGUGUUUUUGAGUUUUGACUGCCUUCUUCUUCACCAAACAGACAAAAACCAAACCAAAUCCAAUCUUCAUUCAUUUCAUUAACCAACCUCAACCCUUCCCCUCCCUCCUCCUUUGUAGUUUCUCCAAAAUCCAAAUCUCAAAUCUCAAAUCUCUCUCUCUCUCUCUCUCUCUCUCUCUCUCUCUCUCUCUCUCUCUCUCUCUCUCUUCCUUUGUAGUUUCAAGUUUCAAUAACACAACCCAAAACCAAGUAAAUAGCUUGUAGCCUGGUACUAAUCAAACUUAAUUAGAUUGGAGUGAUUCUGAUUGACAUUUUUAAAAUUUCACAUCGCAUCAUCAAUCUAACCCACUGAUCAUGGCGCACACUCACGCAGAUCGGUAAAUUAUUGAUAUGUUUUAUUAAUUUGAGAAGGGGAAUCUAGAAGGCUAUUCGCUCAGUUAUUUUUGUUUGAGCUCAUGGCUUCCGUAAGUGUGGUUCCUGCUUCUGGAAUUAGAGACCCCAGUGGAAAUGUAGUUGGUGUCGAUAGUUUGCCUAGUGGGAUGAAUGAUAUGAAAAUUAGGGAUGAAAAGGAAAUGGAAGCAACUAUUGUUGAUGGUAAUGGAACAGAGGCGGGCCAUAUCAUUGUCACAACUAUUGGUGGAAAGAAUGGCCAACCAAAACAGACAAUAAGCUAUAUGGCUGAACGUGUUGUUGGACAUGGAUCUUUUGGAUUGGUUUUCCAGGCCAAAUGUUUAGAAACUGGUGAAACUGUUGCUAUUAAAAAGGUUCUUCAAGACAAGAGGUACAAGAACCGGGAGUUGCAAACCAUGCGUCUACUAGACCACCCAAACAUUGUGUCCCUUAAACAUUGUUUCUUUUCGACAACUGGAAAAGAUGAGCUAUACCUUAACCUUGUACUUGAGUAUGUCCCCGAGACUGUCCAUAGGGUGAUCAAACACUACAGUAAGAUGAGCCAGAGGAUGCCACUUAUAUAUGUCAAACUUUAUUUUUACCAGAUUUGUAGAGCACUUGCUUACAUUCACAAUAGUAUUGGAGUUUGCCACAGGGACAUUAAGCCUCAAAAUUUGUUGGUCAAUCCACAUACUCAUCAGCUUAAAAUCUGUGACUUUGGAAGUGCGAAAGUCUUGGUAAGAGGGGAACCCAACAUAUCUUACAUCUGUUCGAGGUAUUAUCGAGCACCUGAACUUAUAUUUGGUGCAACCGAGUAUACAACAGCCAUUGACAUCUGGUCUGCUGGCUGUGUUCUAGCUGAGCUACUGCUUGGACAGCCCCUAUUUCCUGGAGAAAGUGGAGUAGACCAGCUUGUUGAAAUCAUCAAGGUUUUAGGUACCCCAACAAGAGAGGAAAUAAAGUGCAUGAACCCUAACUACACAGAAUUUAAGUUUCCCCAGAUUAAAGCUCACCCAUGGCACAAGAUAUUCCACAAGCGCAUGCCCCCUGAAGCUGUGGAUCUUGUAUCGAGGCUACUGCAGUACUCUCCAAACCUUCGAAGUACAGCUUUGGAGGCCUUAGCUCAUCCAUUCUUUGAUGAGUUGCGUGACCCUAACACCCGCUUGCCAAAUGGACGUUUCCUCCCCCCAUUGUUCAACUUUAAGGCUCAUGAACUGAAGGGAGUACCUGCAGAGAUGCUGGUUAAGCUGAUUCCAGAGCAUGCAAGAAAACAGUGUGCCUUCCUUGGGUCGUCGUAACUGUUCUUAGUAGUUGAUGUUUGCUCUGCACAGGAAAAUGUGGGCUGCUGUAGAAACGUAGCUUGUGUCCCAUUUGAAUGUGAUCGUCAUAUUGAAGCUGUGGCACAAGGGAUCACCACAUCCAGCUCAACAAUGCAAUUGUUUAUUUUGGUGAGUGUAGCGCGACUUGUGCCUUAGCCGUUAGCUGUUAGCUGUUAGAAAUGAGGUGGGUUUUAACAGAAUAACAGCAAAAAAUAGAUUUUAUUUACAUGCUUGUAAUGUCACAAUGACCUCAAGGUUGGAGGAAGGACAGUCCACAAGUGAGGAGAGAGAGGGUGUUGAAUAGAAAAAUACGAUUUUAUGAAAGUUGAUCAGGCUAUUGAAGCUCUGCACUUUGCCGCUCAACCAGUGGAGAGGCCGGAGUAUGCCCCUUUGCUGGUGCUAGGGUUCUGCAUACGAGGAUGAUGACUCUCAAGUCUUUUUGUUUUCAUUUUUCUGCAGUGCAAACGACGUCGUCUUCGCAAUGCUUUUGUUUCCUUUUAAUGAAACGCGCAGUAUUGAUGCAA